rnacentral:lncRNA from 1 species
AUCAAAUUAUUUAAAGUUUAUAAAAAAAUAAAAAGUUGAAAAUACACAAAAUCAGAAAUUGUCUCAUUGCAAUGAAUCCUUGUGCUAAUAUGUGUCAUUUUGAAGUUCUUCUUUCAAACUGUCCCAUAUUAAUUUCUGGCAUUUUUAAAAAAAAAUUAGCACAAUCCUACUUGAAAGAGACAAAAAGGUGUUCAGUUGUUGUUUUGUCAAGAUUUUGGAAUCAAUGCACCACAGUCUGCUACUCCUGUCCAAAAUCUAUCACACCAAUCGAAACAUACGUGUGUUGCUGUCACUUUUGCUAAUUUUCUAUUUACGGUAAAUUCUCUUGACUGUCUGAUCUGGAUUAAAAAUCCAUUGAUCUGCUUAAAGAUUAUGUUGGUACUCAUAGAUAGUAAAGUCUAAAAAAGAAAAUAAAUUAUGCUAAAGACCUAUUUCAGAAAAGAAAAGAUCCUUUAAAUAGUGAGAAUAAUACCAUUCUUUGUAAAUGCAUUUUUGUCGAGCCUUCGACUUUUGUCGAAAAAGCGAGACAUAGCGAUCAUAC